CGUGGAUGAUGUGGUUUAAUUCGAUGCAACGCGAAAACCUUACCUACCCUUGACAUGCUAGGAACUUGCCAGAGAUGGCUUGGUGCCCGAAAGGGAACCUAGACACAGGUGCUGCAUGGCUGUCGUCAGCUCGUGUCGUGAGAUGUUGGGUUAAGUCCCGCAACGAGCGCAACCCUUGUCAUUAAUUGCCAUCAUUCAGUUGGGCACUUUAAUGAGACUGCCGGUGACAAACCGGAGGAAGGUGGGGAUGACGUCAAGUCCUCAUGGCCCUUAUGGGUAGGGCUUCACACGUAAUACAAUGGGGUCGACAGUGGGAUGCAAAGCCGCGAGGUGGAGCCAAUCCCCAAACGGCCUCUCAGUUCGGAUAGUAGUCUGCAACUCGACUACUUGAAGUCGGAAUCGCUAGUAAUGGCGGAUCAGCAUGCCGCCGUGAAUACGUUCCCGGGUCUU
rnacentral:rRNA from 1 species